rnacentral:rRNA from 1 species
CAGCAGCCACGGGAACACGAAGGAGGCUAGCGUUGCUCGGAAUGACUGGGCGUAAAGGGCGCGUAGGCGGAUUGUUUAGUUAGGCGUGAAAUUCCUGGGCUUAACCUGGGGACUGCGCUUAAUACAGGCAGUCUAGAGUGAGGAAGAGGGUUGUGGAAUUCCCAGUGUAGAGGUGAAAUUCGUAGAUAUUGGGAAGAACACCGGUGGCGAAGGCGGCAACCUGGUCCUUGACUGACGCUGAGGCGCGAAAGCGUGGGGAGCAAACAGGAUUAGAUACCCCAGUAGUCCCUGUCUCUUAUAC